AGUGCNGCAGGCUUAAACAUGCAAGUCGAGGGGUAGGGCACUUCGGUGCUUGAGACCGGCGCACGGGUGCGUAACACGUAUGCAAUCUGCCUUCCACAGAGGGAUAGCCCAGAGAAAUUUGGAUUAAUACCUCAUAGCAUCAUGACCCGGCAUCGGGAUAUGAUUAAAGUCACAACGGUGGAAGAUGAGCAUGCGUCCCAUUAGCUAGUUGGUAAGGUAACGGCUUACCAAGGCUACGAUGGGUAGGGGUCCUGAGAGGGAGAUCCCCCACACUGGUACUGAGACACGGACCAGACUCCUACGGGAGGCAGCAGUGAGGAAUAUUGGUCAAUGGGCGCAAGCCUGAACCAGCCAUGCCGCGUGCAGGAUGACGGUCCUAUGGAUUGUAAACUGCUUUUGUACGGGAAGAAACCCUCCUACGUGUAGGAGCUUGACGGUACCGUAAGAAUAAGGAUCGGCUAACUCCGUGCCAGCAGCCGCGGUAAUACGGAGGAUCCAAGCGUUAUCCGGAAUCAUUGGGUUUAAAGGGUCUGUAGGCGGUCUUGUAAGUCAGUGGUGAAAGCCCAUCGCUCAACGGUGGAACGGCCAUUGAUACUGCUGGACUUGAAUUAUUGGGAAGCAACUAGAAUAUGUAGUGUAGCGGUGAAAUGCUUAGAGAUUACAUGGAAUACCAAUUGCGAAGGCAGGUUGCUACCAAUGGAUUGACGCUGAUGGACGAAAGCGUGGGUAGCGAACAGGAUUAGAUACCCUGGUAGUCCACGCCGUAAACGAUGGAUACUAGCUGUUGGGCGCAAGUUCAGUGGCUAAGCGAAAGUGAUAAGUAUCCCACCUGGGGAGUACGAACGCAAGUUUGAAACUCAAAGGAAUUGACGGGGGCCCGCACAAGCGGUGGAGCAUGUGGUUUAAUUCGAUGAUACGCGAGGAACCUUACCAAGGCUUAAAUGCAGACUGACCGGUUUGGAAACAGACCUUUCGCAAGACGGUCUACAAGGUGCUGCAUGGUUGUCGUCAGCU
rnacentral:rRNA from 1 species